ACGGAGAAUGAUGUGUUGGAUUUUGUCAAGGACCAGUCCUGAAAGUGAGGCUCACACAUGUCAUUUACCAGCUCUCCAGCAAUUAAAUGUGGCACCGGAAGGGUUUUCUGACCAGUGGAAGCUAUCAAGCUGGGGACAACCUCCAGGACAAUUUUGGAAGCUGCACACAGAAGAUGACAGAGCCUCAUUCAGAUUUGGGCCCUGAAUGAUUACAAGGAGGAGAGCUCCUUGGCCAAACUAUGCCCUUCUUAGAACAGUCCUUAGAACUUGUUUGUGGUUCAAGCCAUUAAGUAUUUUG